CUCUUGCUAUAUAUUUUACACAGAAGAAAAAAAUAUGGCGAACACACAAAAUUUGGUGAUUUUUUCUCUUGUUGUGAUAUUAGCAGCUUCAGUGUUUAACACCAACAUUUUGGUUUCAGGUGCGGAGCACGAGAAUAAAAUCAAGUAUACUUACUGCGCUAAGACUUUAUGCUCGGACAGCUACUUACCUCAUAUGUGCUUUUUUGAUUGUACUACUAAAGGGUUUCAAACCGGAACUUGUAUAGUGCCUACUCCUAAUACUCCCUUAAGAUGUUGUUGUGGUACCUUGUAGGCAUCAUCUACCUAAUCUAAUAAAAUAUUUAAGAGCUUCGUUUCGUUUUA